GAUGAAAAAAUAUUUUGUAUUAAUUUAUAUAAAAGAUCGCGUGCAUCUUAUACCUACCUAUUCAAAUAUUUAUGUUGUCCAUCCAUUACAACUUUAAAUUCGCUUCUACUGAAUAUUCCUUUACAAGCUGGCUGUACCCAUUUAAUCAUUAAAUACCUAAGACAAAUUGUUAAAGAUAUGAAAGAUAGCAGAGAAAAAUAUGUUGCUCUUAUUUGGGAUGAAAUUUUAUUGCAACCCACUUUAUCUUACAAUAGAAGACAAAAUAAAAUUGUAGGCUUUGAGGAUGGGGGCAUGAAAAGAACUAGAAAAAUUGCUGAUCAUGCAAUAACUUUUUAUCUACGAUGUUUAAAAUCAGGAAAUAAAAUGCCUUUAGGCUAUGGUUUUUGUGAAAGUACCACGAAAACGUUUCAGUUAAUACGAUGUGUCAAAGAAUGGUUAGGUUAGGUUAGGUAUAUAUUUAGUAAAUAUUUCUGCAUCUGGAUUAAUACCUGUGGCCACUAUAUGCGAUCAAGGUGGUAUAAAUAUCGCAACAAUUAAUAGUCUCAUAGAUGAAACAAAUAAAAUUCGCAUAAAAAAAAUUUACGUACAAGUAAGGAUAGCAAAUAAUUUAAUAAUGUUUACACUGUACACAAUUGUGCUAAAAAAGAUUUCGGUUAAAAUUUUUGUUAAAUGCAUAACAGAUGAAUGUGUUAAUUUUACACAAAAUUUAUUUCACAUUAUGAUAAAGUUUGUAUUUAUUUCCGUAUUGAAAUAUUAAUACAAUAUUGAUGUCACUUUUUAGCAUAUCCGUAUUGAAUAAACAAAAAUUUGUGUAGACCAUUUAAGGCAAGCAAUAUCUGUUAUAUUUAGCACAAAUUGUUUAACUGUGUAUUUUUAUCAGUAUAUUUUAUCUUUUUUUAUUGUUAUUUAUUUGAUUUUAUAUAAUUUUUUAUUUUUAGUUUUACUUCAUUAAUAAUUUUUUCCUAAUAUAAUAAGAACCAAUUGCAACAUUUUCAUAUUAUUUUAGAGAAUACUUUUAUCAUCAAAAACAAUGAAAUAAUACCUAUUUUUGAUUACGUACAUUUGCUGAAAGGAGUCAGAAAUAAUCUAAUAGUAAAAGAUUUAGAUACAGAUGUUACAUCUAAAGAACAAAAAUACGCGUCUUGGGAUCAUAUAAAAACUACGUAUGAAAUUGAUACAAAUUCUUUCAUGAAAUAUCGACAAAUGGAAAAAAUUACAGAUAGACAUGUUAUUCCAAAACAAAUACCAAAAAUGAGAGUAAAAUAUGCAUCCCAAAUUUUUACUCGCCCUGUUUCCAACUUUAUGGAUAUUAUUCUAAAUUUAAGUGGAGGAGUUGUUCAGACACAACAAGGUGAAAUGAUAUUAUCAAAAAAUGCAUUCACAACUUCAGAAAUAAUUCGAUUUUUCAACGAUCUAUUUGAUUCCUUCAAUGGAAAAAAAGGACAAGGGUUAAGUAGCGUAAUAACUACCUCCAGUGGACACAUUUCAUUUUAGCAAGAAGCAUGUAAUAAAUUAAGAAAGAUGCGUUAUGUUGACAAAGAGACCCGGAAGAUUCCUAAAACAAAUCAACCUAAAUGUUUAAAAAAUUGGGUAUGGACCAUGAUAGCUGCGCAAGAAAUAUGAAAUAAACUCCAGAAAGCUACUUUUGAAUCGUUAAAUUUAAAAUUUUUAAAUCAAGAUGUCAUUGAGAACUUCUUUAAUCAAAUAAGAAGCAACGGAUGUGCGAAUAGAAAUCCAAGUUGCGAACAAUUUGAAGGUGCAUUUAAAACAUUAUUAAUUAGUAAUUUAACUUUAAAACAUUCGAUUGGAGCUAAUUGUGAAGAAGACAAAGAGGGAACGGUACUAGCUUAUAACGGUACUAGGCUUUUUCCCAUUUAAUAAAUUUAAGUGAGGCAAACAAAGAAAUCGACGAUGUCGAGAAAAUAAAUAAUAUUGAAUGUGCUGAGCCAACUAUACCUGAUACUGAUACAAGCGAGAAGAUAAUAAACGAAAGAAAAAUUUUUAAUAUACUUAAACGUAAUAAAAUUAUUGCACAAUGUGACAAAUGUAUGAAUUACCUUAUGAAUGCAUAGACUCUACUUGAUAUGUAUAAGACAAGCUAUUGAAAUUUUGGAAUUACAAUUUGUACAUAUAUGCCAUGAAGUCCAAAUAUUUGAAAAAACAACUAAAAUUUUAAAAGAUCAAUGUUUUUUUAAUUAUUCUUUGCAAUGCACACAUUUUAAAGAAAUGUUAUUAAAAGUAACUGCUGAAGAAUUCACUAAAGCAUGGUGCAAAUUUAUUGAUAACAUCCUCAGCCAAAAAAUUGAUGUGCAUUCCAAUAAUUUUAUAUAUAACAUUGCAAAACGAAUGUCGAAUAAAUAUAGAAGGAAAUGUAGCAAUACAAAACCUGUAGAAAUAAAGAUAUAAAUACAAAUUCAAAAAUCAAAAACAUAUUGAGGCUAAUUGAGGCAUAAAAUUUUAGAUCUACUGCUGUCUAUUCUUUGCUGCAUGUUUGAUCUGUUAUUUUAAAAUAUUACAGUUAUAUACAUAUAUAUAUAUAUAUAUAUAUACAUAUACAUAUA